rnacentral:rRNA from 1 species
UGUUUCGGCUAGGGGGCCAUCCCGGCUUACCAACCCGAUGCAAACUGCGAAUACCGGAGAAUGUUAUCACGGGAGACACACGGCGGGUGCUAACGUCCGUCGUGAAGAGGGAAACAACCCAGACCGCCAGCUAAGGUCCCAAAGUCAUGGUUAAGUGGGAAACGAUGUGGGAAGGCCCAGACAGCCAGGAUGUUGGCUUAGAAGCAGCCAUCAUUUAAAGAAAGCGUAAUAGCUCACUGGUCGAGUCGGCCUGCGCGGAAGAUGUAACGGGGCUAAACCAUGCACCGAAGCUGCGGCAGCGACACUGUGUGUUGUUGGGUAGGGGAGCGUUCUGUAAGCCUGUGAAGGUGGCCUGUGAGGGUU